rnacentral:rRNA from 1 species
AACGAACGCUGGCGGCGUGGAUAAGACAUGCAAGUCGAGCGCUGAUCACAGGGUAGCAAUAUUCUGUGGUUGGAGCGGCGCAAGGGUGCGUAACACGUGGGUAAUCUGCCGUGAAGUUUGGGAUAACUUGCUGAAAGGCGAGCUAAUACCGGAUGUGAAACUUGGAAGGCAUCUUCUGAUUUUCAAAGCUGGGACCGUAAGGCCUGGCGCUUCAUGAUGAGCCCGCGGCCUAUCAGCUAGUUGGUAAGGUAACGGCUUACCAAGGGCUAAGACGGGUAGCUGGUCUGA